GACAGAGCAGAGCUGAAUCACUACCUUUCCCGCAUACUCUAAACUGUUGCCUGCGAAAGAGGAACUGGGGACUUAGACUAAUUCAGGCUGCUUUCAUUCAAAUGUUCCAGAGGGCACACACACAUCCAAACAGACUUCUCUUUGCUUUUCAGAGCUUAUAAGGAGCAGGCAUCUGAAGCUGCACUCUGAAGCUCUGUUCCAGGGAUGUUCCUGAACAACUUACCUGUUGGUGAAAGCUUCAAAAGGGAUACUUAAGUGACCCAUCCUAUUCAUACUGUGGGCCAGGAGAGAGAUGUGUGAAGAUAGAAGAAACUGGUCAAACAAAAAUAUGGAAGCAGGGAAGUAGGAAAAUCAAUUUCUGUUGGAGAAUCUGAAGAGCCAAAUCUCCUGAGCCUGGGCCUACUGCUGUCAGCGUCUCUGAGACCUCUCUUACCUGAGAAUUACCAGGUCUCACAACACUUUCCGUCCAGCCUACAGUGAGGGAUGUCAACAAAGCUACAGAAAACUCACAUUUUCUAGACUUACAAGCUGUGCAGCUGGGCAGGAACCUUAUAAUCUCCAUCCUUAGGGAAGGUUCAGAAAUAUAGACAAACGGGAGGAAAACUCAGAUAUGCUGAGCCUGAUAUAUACAAAAGCCUUCAGAUAGUUUCCUCAAGGAAGAGCCCAAUUAGGUCCACAUAAUUAGUCCACACAUCUAGAUUAGGUAUAGGCAAAACGAGCCCUUUAUCCAUCUACCAAAACAGAGCAAAAGACUGACAUAAUACUAUAAAAGAUUCUUGUUCUAAUAACAGUAUUAUAAAGCAGUUUCAGCCAUAUUUAUUUUAAUCAGUAUAAAAGUAGGAGUGUGGAAAAUAAAGCAUUACUUAUAUUUUUGAAAAUUGAUUAAGAAGCUCUGAUAAAACCUAUUGGAGGGGUGAUUGCUGUGCUGAAGGAUAGAGAGGGUGUCUCAAUUGUCAAAUCAUAGCAUCACCAUUUUCUGCUUGUGUGCUAUUACCUUAGCUCUGAGAGUGAUUUGUUUUUACCGGAUUGUUAGAACACGUCCAAUAGAUUUAGAGACAGUCUAAGUGACUGUGAAAUGCCUCAAGGGCAAUAGAAAUCAAAGAGAAACACAUACCAACUCAAGUCUUGAGUGAUGAUGGAGGCGCAUUUUAAAUACCAUGGAAAUCUCACUGGGCGUGCCCAUUUUCCCACUCUGGCAACAGAGGUUGAUACUUCUUCAGACAAGUAUUCCAACCUGUACAUGUAUGUGGGCUUAUUCCUGAGCCUCCUGGCCAUUCUCCUCAUCCUGCUCUUCACAAUGCUCCUUCGGCUCAAACAUGUCAUCUCGCCCAUCAACUCGGACAGCACAGAAAGUGUUCCUCAGUUCACAGAUGUAGAGAUGCAGAGUCGAAUCCCCACUCCUUAAAGCCAGGAUGAAGGUGAGCUUUAGUGGAUCUGGGUAAACCCUUAUAUAUAGAUGUCCAGGAGAGCUUGCUUUCUUACAUGAAGCUUCCCAUGUAGGGAAUCCACAAGUUGUUCAUUUAACAACAAGCUGUUCAUGUUUUCUUUGUGUUAUUCUUCAUCUUUACUCUGCUUGUGGACUAUCUAAAACGUUUAAGACUCACUCUGAAAGGAAUAUAGGAAAUGACAGCUGGUUGGGAGGGCUGGUUUCCAUAGUAACCAAACAGUGCAUGGGCCUUGCACAAACCUCAGACCACAGAAAUUCAUACGCAGUGGUUGUAAGAAACACAGGGUCCCUGGAAGCUCCAAAAACAAAGAAGAUUUGCUUUUGAAAGGGUUGAUCCUUCAAAGAGGAUAUCCCAAGAAAAGGACAAGUUCUAAUUUAGUGUUUUGAUCCUAAAGAAUCACCUCUACACGAAGUUAAAUUAUGUCAGAAGUUAAUGGAAGGGACCACGAGUCCUUUCCCUAAACAGCAGUGAUUUGAUCAUCUUAGGCAAUUCGGUUUGUUUCAAAUGAAAGAAGAGAUUUAAAGAAAGUGUUUCAGUUUAAAGAGUAAGUUUUCAGAAAGAAGUUUCUAGUAAACAAACUCAUCUAGAGAGAGAAAAAUGUGCAUAUUAUAACUAUGUUAAUUCUAUUCAUGCAGCUUCUUUGUCUUUUUCUUUCUCCCUAUCACACUCUAGGAUAGAGUUGCACACAAAUAUGAGCUUUGUUUAAAAGGUGCCUUUGCAAACAAGACUCAACUGUACUUUAGAGCAGAAAUGAAAUGAUUUUGGUAUUCUGUUGUUGAGUGUGGCUUUGGACAAAACAUUCAAGCCUUCUGAGUCCCAGGGUUUUUGUGCUGAAAAAUGGUUAGAGAGCUAUUUAGUCAUCACUAUACUCUUUAGAUCUGAGUAUUU